AUGGCGGAGGUGCCUCCAUUGACGCAUGCAGAGAACCGAGAGUUCCUUCGCAUUCUCCGAGAGGCCAGGCUACGGUCGGGAUGCGGCGGAGCUCCGGCGAAGGUGGAGGUCCAGUUCGACGGCGUCAGUGUCCACGCCGGCGUGCGUGCACUGCCGGGCGUCGGCGCUGCCAAGGAAAUUCUAGAAUCUGCAUACCUUUGUGCCACACAGAGGACGGGAAUCAAAAUUCUCAACACGGCGAGUGGGACAAUAAGAUCAUCAAGGAUGACUCUUGUUGUGGGAGCACCUGGAUCAGGAAAAACAACCUUUUUAAGAGCACUGGCUGGAAAAUUAGACCCCUCUUUGAAGUUCCAAGGGAAAGUAAUGUACAAUGGAGAAUCAAUCUCCUCUACACCUCACUACAUGCGUGCUUAUGUUAGCCAGUAUGAUCUUCACCAUGCCGAGAUGACAGUGAGAGAGACACUUAAUUUCUCUUCCAACAUGAUGGGUUCCAACAACGACUUUGAGAUGCUACAAGAUGAAGUGCGAAGGACUACUCCAGUGGAUGAGGAGCUAUUUUCUAAGGCAACCAAGUUUGGAGAAGGAAGCAACCUGAAAACAAACUAUAUCAUGAAGAUUCUUGGAUUGUCGAACUGUGCUGACACCAUAAUAGGGGAUGAGCUCCGAAGAGGGAUUUCCGGGGGGCAAAAGAAGAGAACCACAUUAGGAGAGAUGCUAGUUGGUCGUGCAAGGUGCUUCUUUAUGGAUGACAUAUCAACAGGCCUGGAUAGCUCUACCACAUUUGAUAUUAUGGCAUUUCUUGGACAAAUGGCACAUCUCAUGGAUCUUACAAUGGUUAUCUCCUUGUUACAACCAUCUCCAGAGAUAUUAGAAUUAUUUGAUGACAUAAUCCUUCUCUGUGAGGGUGAUAUUGUUUACCAUGGCGCUCGGCAAAAUGUUAUUGACUUUUUCAACAACAUUGGCUUUACCUGCCCUAGCAGGAAGAAUGUAGCUGACUUCCUUCAAGAGGUUACCUUAAAAAAGUAUCAAAAGCAGUACUGGAGCGGUGAUGUGAGCGAAUAUCAAAAUCAUACCAUUGAAAAAUUCGUAAAUUGCUUCAAAGCAUAUGACCUUCCUCAAUCUCUGGAAGAUAAGCAGUGCAAGAAUUACGACAUCAAACAGGGCAAGGAAGAAUUUCAAGCAUAUAACAAUCCAGGCAUAUCAAAGUGGAAUGUUUUCAGAGCUUGCCUCUCAAGGGAAGUACUCCUAUUUAAAAGAAAUUGUCCGGUUCAUAUGUUCAAGGCUAUACAACUCAUUUUUCUAGCUUUUGUCAUUGCAACACUUUUCCUUCGGACGGAAACGAGCCCAGAUACAGUUUUUGACGGAGUAAAGUACUUGGGUGCUCUCUUUAUGGGUAUAGCUGUUAUAAACUUCAACAGCAUGAUCGAACUUGCAAUGACCACAAAGAGGCUCCCGAUAUUCUAUAAACAAAGGGAGUCAUUAGCAUUACCAGGAUGGGCCGUUGUUUGCUCAGUUUUCCUUAUCAGUCUACCUAUAUCACUAAUGGAGUCAAGUCUUUGGACCUUCCCAACCUACUAUGCAAUUGGCUAUGCACCUUCUCCCAUUAGGUUAUUUCAGCAAUUACUAGUGUUUUUUGCGAUGCAUCAAAUGUCACUGGGUCUUUAUCGCUUUUUAGCAACCAUAGGAAGGACACCAAUAGUAUCAAAUAUACUAGGGACGCAAGCUCUAGUCGCAAUCUUCAUACUUGGAGGCUUCAUCAUAUCAAAAGAUGACCUCCAACCAUGGUUGAGCUGGGGUUAUUGGGCUUCCCCAUUCACCUACGCCCUCAACGCUCUAGCUUUGAAUGAAUAUCUUGACAAAAGAUGGGCUAAGGAGUUCCAUUUUGAAAAUGCUAAUACUAUUGGAGAAGCUAUUCUGAAGGUCAGGGGUUUGCUCGGUGAAUGGCAAUGGUAUUGGAUUUGCAUAGUAGUUUUAUUUGGAUUUGCACUGAUCUUUAACAUCCUGAGCAUAUUGGCAUUAGAGUUCUUAAACUCUCCACACAAGCACCAAGGUAAUAUCAAGUCACAAGGGAGACACUCUUUAGAGUACGACGAUCAAGUAAUAGUUGGUGGGAAGGCUUCAACCGAUCAAGCUAGCAUCCCGUUCCAACCACUGUGUUUUGUAUUUAAAAAAAUAAACUAUUUUGUUGACAUGCCUAAAGAGAUGAAAAAAUAUGGAGCAACCGAAACAAGGCUUCAGCUGUUACGGGAUGUUAGUGGUUCUUUCAGACCAGGAGUCCUAACAGCGUUGAUGGGGAUCACUGGUGCUGGGAAAACAACAUUACUUGAUGUUUUGGCUGGAAGAAAAACUGGAGGUUACAUCGAAGGUACUAUUAACAUAGGUGGCUACCAAAAACAGCAAGAUACAUGCUCAAGGAUUACUGGUUAUUGUGAGCAAACAGACAUACACUCUCCUCACUUGACAGUCUAUGAGUCACUUCUAUUCUCUGCAUACCUUCGCCUACCUUCAUAUGUGAAACCUUAUCAACGAGAUAUGUUUGUGGAAGAAAUUAUGGAACUAGUAGAGCUAAACAACUUGAGAAAUGCAAUGGUGGGCAUUCCUGGGGUGACAGGUCUAUCAGCUGAGCAACGAAAAAGACUUACAAUAGCAGUGGAGCUUGUGGCAAGCCCUUCUAUUAUGUUCAUGGAUGAGCCAACAACUGGUUUAGAUGCUCGUGCUGCAGCAAUUGUCUUGCAUACAGUACGAAAGUUGGUGGACACCGGGCGCACUAUUGUUUGCACAAUUCAUCAACCAAACAUUCAUUUAUUCGAAUCUUUUGAUGAGCUGCUACUUAUGAAACAAGGAGGUCAACUCAUUUAUAGCGGUUCUUUAGGCUCACUGUGUAGAAAUUUGACAAAAUAUUUCGAGGUUAUUCCUGGUGUUCCUAGAAUCAAGGAUGGUCAAAAUCCAGCUUCAUGGGUGUUAGACAUUAGCUCACAUGCCAUGGAGUAUACAAUUGGAGUGGACUACGUACAAAUUUACCAGAACUCCAACUUAUAUAAGGAGAAUAUGGCUUUGGUUGAUGAGUUGAGCAAACCAAAUACAAACCAGGAAGAUCUACAAUUCACAUCCAAAUAUUGUCGAGAUACUAAAACUCAAUGCAUGACAUGUAUAUGGAAACAAUAUUGCUCUUACAGAAAAAACUCGGAGCUAAAUAUAUUUCGCUUUCUAAAUACAUUUGCAAUCUCAAUCAUGUUUGGCGUUGUGUUCUGGCAAAUUGGGUCAACAAUUAAGGUGGAGCAAGAUGUGUUCAACAUACUGGGAAUUGGAUAUGGGUCAGCCCUAUUUCUCGGUUUCAUGAAUUGCAAUAGUUUACAACCAGUCGUAGCGAUGGAGAGAGUUGUUUUCUAUAGAGAAAAAGCUUCUGGCAUGUACUCCUCAAUGGCGUUUGUAAUUGGUCAGGUAGCAGCUGAAAUUCCUUACAUUGUUAUUCAACCACUCAUUUUCUCAGCAAUUGUGUACCCAAUGGUAGGGUUCCAGAUGACAUUUGAAAAAUUCUUAUGGUUUGUCAUGUACAUGGUACUAAGCUUCAUGGACUACACACUCUAUGGGAUGAUGGCUGUUGCACUAACACCCAGUCCUGAGAUAGCUGCUGGGCUAUCCUUCCUCAUCUUCAUGAUAUGGAAUUUCUUCUCGGGCUUCAUCAUUACACGGAAGGCGAUGCCCAUGUGGUGGAGGUGGAUGUACUGGGCCGAUCCAGCAGCAUGGACCCUAUAUGGGCUUGUGUCUUCACAGCUCGGCGACCACACGGAACUAAUCCGUGUGUUGGGCCAGCCAGACCAACCAGUGAUGAAGUUUUUGGAGGAGUACUUAGGCCUUGAAAAUGGCUACUUUCCCCUGGUCACAGCUCUUCACUUCGUGCUAAGCAUGCUCUUCUGUUUUAUCUUCUGUGUUGGCAUCAAGUAUAUCAAGUUUCAAAAAAGAUAG
rnacentral:rRNA from 1 species